UAACACGAGAAGACCCCAUGGAGUUAAUUAAUCUCUGUUUAUCUAGCAGAGAUAAAGUUUUACUGGGGCAGUAGGGAUAUAAAAUUAACUAUCUAUAAAAUAAUAUAAAGGAUCCUUUAAAUAAAGUCGGAUGAAAAAGUUACCCUGGGGAUAACA
rnacentral:rRNA from 1 species